AGGCAGCAGUGAGGAAUAUUGGUCAAUGGGAGAGAUCCUGAACCAGCCAAGCCGCGUGAGGGAAGACGGCCCUAUGGGUUGUAAACCUCUUUUGUCGGAGAACAAAACCCGGGACGUGUCCCGGACUGCGUGUAUCCGAAGAAAAAGCAUCGGCUAACUCCGUGCC
rnacentral:rRNA from 1 species